rnacentral:rRNA from 1 species
UACGUAGGUGGCAAGCGUUGUCCGGAUUUACUGGGCGUAAAGAGCGCGCAGGCGGUCGUUCAAGUCGCGUGUGAAAGCCCCCGGCUCAACUGGGGAGGGUCACGCGAUACUGAUCGACUCGAAGGCAGGAGAGGGUAGUGGAAUUCCCGGUGUAGUGGUGAAAUGCGUAGAUAUGUGGAGGAAUACCGGUGGCGAAGGCGGCCUCCUGGCUUAAUACUGACACUGAGGUGCGAAAGCGUGGGGAGCAAACAGG